AAGAAAUGACAAGGAUUAUGAGCCUAGUGGGGUGAGUGGGCCUCCUGCCAGCCUGUGGCCACCGCCUCGUGGACGUGUGGUCCCGUGGGCCUGCUUUGCCCCACUCCCUGCUGGCUCCACACCAGGCAUCGGGCCCUGGCAGGGCGCCGGCCCCUCCAGUCCCAGGAGAAGCAUUCCUAGAAAGAGCUGAGUCAGCGCCUGUCCCCCACCCUCCCCAGGGGCAAAGUCACAGGCGCCUCCCACCCCCACCUGGGGAACUUUGCCCCAGCCUGAGAGGAGCUCAGAACAGAAGGCCACGAGGGAAGGCAGGAGAAAGAUCCUGAGCUCUGGCAUACUGGGCUGUUUAAUCUCUUAUCGGGUCGAGGUCAGAGGAGGUAGAGGCUAGGAGCAGAAAGCUCUGGUCAUCAGCCUCCCCCCUCAAAAAAUAAAGGGAAGCUC